rnacentral:rRNA from 1 species
AAUAGCAUAUUCAUUUGACGUUAGCUGCAGAAGAAGCACCGGCAACUCCGUGCCAGCAGCCGCGGUAAUACGGAGGGUGCGAGCGUUAAUCGGAAUUACUGGGCGUAAAGCGCAUGCAGGUGGUUUGUUAAGUCAGAUGUGAAAAGCCCGGGGCUCAACCUCGGAAUUGCAUUUGAAACUGGCAAACUAGAGUACUGUAGAGGGGGGUAGAAUUUCAGGUGUAGCGGUGAAAAUGCGUAGAGAUCUGAAGGAAUACCGGUGGCGAAGGCGGCCCCCUGGACAGAUACUGACACUCAGAUGCGAAAGCGUGGGGAGCAAACAGGAUUAGAUACCCUGGUAG